rnacentral:rRNA from 1 species
GUCCACGCCCUAAACGAUGGAUGCUAAGUGUCGGGCUUUGCCCGGUGCUUCAAGCUAACGCAUUAAGCAUCCCGCCUGAGGAGUACGGCCGCAAGGUUAAAACUCAAAUGAAUAGACGGGGACCCCGCACAAGCAGUGGAUCAUGUGGUUUAAUUCGACACUAAACGAGGAACCUCACCUAGGCUUGACAUUGAUAGAAGGAAGUAGAAAUACAUCUGUACCCGCAAGGGAACUUGAAAACAGGUGCUGCAUGGUUGUCGU